rnacentral:rRNA from 1 species
GACGAACGCUGGCGGCGUGCCUAAUACAUGCAAGUUGAGCGAUGAAGCUUGGUGCUUGCACCAAUUUGAAGAGCAGCGAACGGGUGAGUAACGCGUGGGGAAUCUGCCUUUGAGCGGGGGACAACAUUUGGAAACGAAUGCUAAUACCGCAUAACAACUUUAAACAUAAGUUUUAAGUUUGAAAGAUGCAAUUGCUUCACUCAAAGAUGAUCCCGCGUUGUAUUAGCUAGUUGGUGAGGUAAAGGCUCACCAAGGCGAUGAUACAUAGCCGACCUGAGAGGGUGAUCGGCCACAUUGGGACUGAGACACGGCCCAAACUCCUACGGGAGGCAGCAGUAGGGAAUCUUCGGCAAUGGACGAAAGUCUGACCGAGCAACGCCGCGUGAGUGAAGAAGGUUUUCGGAUCGUAAAAAUCUGUUGGUAGAGAAGAAAGUUGGUGAGAGUGGAAAGCUCAUCAAGUGACGGUAACUACCCAGAAAGGGACGGCUAACUACGUG